rnacentral:rRNA from 1 species
CCUACGGGAGGCUGCAGUCGGGAAUUUUGGGCAAUGGGCGAAAGCCUGACCCAGCAACGCCGCGUGAAGGAUGAAGUAUUUCGGUAUGUAAACUUCGAAAGAAUGGGAAGAAUAAAUGACGGUACCAUUUAUAAGGUCCGGCUAACUACGUGCCAGCAGCCGCGGUAAUACGUAGGGACCAAGCGUUGUUCGGAUUUACUGGGCGUAAAGGGCGCGUAGGCGGUCCUGCAAGUCACUUGUGAAAUCUCCGGGCUUAACUCGGAACGGCCAAGUGAAACUGCAAGACUAGAGUGCAGAAGGGGCAAUCGGAAUUCUUGGUGUAGCGGUGAAAUGCGUAGAUAUCAAGAGGAACACCUGAGGUGAAGACGGGUUGCUGGGCUGACACUGACGCUGAGGCGCGAAAGCCAGGGGAGCAAACGGGAUUAGAUACCCUGGUAGUC